UGUGAACUUUCCCCAGAUCCUUCAGUAUACUUUUCCCCCCAUCUAAUUUUCUUUCCUCUUCCCUGCUCUAUUACCCAUUGGUUAGGGGCCACUGAACCUAUUCAGUCUUGACUUGUUUGGGGCUUUCUGUCCCAUACAACUUGUGCAUAUCAGUUUCUGCCCCCCAAAGAUUCUGUUUGUGUGUGUCUUUGUGUGUGUGUGUUUGUUUUGCCAGCUCUGGCUAUUUGGUUGCAUAAUGGUGGUGGUCGAGUAGACCAGAUAGGCGGGGGAGAAAGAAAGAAAGAAAGAAAGAAAGAAAGAUCCGUGCUGGAAGAGCCGCUCCAUUAUUGGCAGAAAUCAAAUGGGUUUAGGUUCUGGACAAGCUAUGGAAGAGGGGCAAGGGCUGACAUGAGAUCUGUGCUUUGAGCAGAUGCGCUUUCAGCAUGAGGACCACUGUAAUAAUUAAAUUCUGAUAAUUAUGGGUAGAAGGACUGUGCUAUCUUCUUGCAGAACUUUUGGCCAAGACACGUGUGGCUUUUAAAAAAAAUAAUAACUUACUCUAAUGCACUCCUUCUAGAAGGGGGAAGUCACUGGAGGAUUCGCAGCUGUGCAUGUUCACUGCACUUUGAUUCCUCCCUGGUCCUGCUCUGCCCCUCCUAAUCUGCAGUGCUAUAAAAGAUGGGAGCUCUGCUGCCUGCCAGCCUGUUGGACUGGAAAAUGGAGCCAACCCGCCAGCCGAAUGGUUCCCACGCAGCCAGGGCCCAGGGCUGCGGCAGCCCAACAGCGAGGUGGAUGGCGGAGAGAGAAGCUUCAGGGUGAACCUCCACUGCAAACACGGGCGGCCCAGGUAAGGGCGGGAGUGGGGAAUAGGCCCCCUCGAUAAGCCAGUCUUUCCCCUUCUGGCUCGGAAAGAGUUCCAGGCUUUUCAGGCUUUUCCUGCUGAUUUGGGGAGAUGGUGAGGCUCCAUCGCUGUGUGGAAGAAGGUGAGGUCACUGAAGAAGGCCCGAAGGGAGGACGUGGCUCUAACCUUCGUCCUCCAAGGUAGCGGCAAUGAGAGGAAGGACCUCUUCCUUCACACACCCUGUCCUGCCCCCUGCAGCCCCAAGAGAGCUGUGGAAUAUACUGUCCUGUCACUAGUCCUGAAUUAAAAUCCAACCGUCAGGCUAGUUUGUUGGUUUGUGUCUGUGUAUGUCUGUGUCCGUGUCCCUGUCCCCUUUAACUCUGGUCGUAAAAUAUGGUGGGGCAAUCUUGUCUGCACUCCGCUUCAGUCUAGGCAUGCAUGUCAUGAAAGGAGGCGUUGGAAUGGAUUCUGCACUUUUAGACUACAGGG
rnacentral:lncRNA from 1 species